rnacentral:rRNA from 1 species
CCUACGGGUGGCAGCAGUCGAGAAUCAUUCACAAUGGGGGAAACCCUGAUGGUGCGAAGCCGCGUGGGGGAAUGAAGGUCUUCGGAUUGUAAACCCCUGUCAUGUGGGAGCAAAUUAAAAAGAUAGUACCACAAGAGGAAGAGACGGCUAACUCUGUGCAAGCAGCUGCGGUACUACAGAGGCCUCAAGCGUUGUUCGGCAUCACUGGGCGUAAAGCGUGCGUAGGCUGUUUCGUAAGUCGUGUGUGAAAGGCGCGGGCUCAACCCGCGGACGGCACAUGAUACUGCGAGACUAGAGUAAUGGAGGGGGAAGCGGAAUGCGCGGUGUAGCAGUGAAAUGCGUAGAUAUCGAGAGGAACACUCGUGGCGAAGGCGGGUUCCUGGAGAUUAACUGACGCUGAGGCACGAAGGCCAGGGGAGCGAAAGGGAUUAGAUACCCGGGUAGUC